rnacentral:lncRNA from 1 species
AUGCCCCCCCCCUCAGAACUUGGGCAGAGUUUACAUCUUACAGAUAAAGUGGUGCCAACUGGGAAGUUGGGAGGUUUCAGGCAACGUCAGAGCCAAGAGGGACCCACACUGGGGACGGGCGAGAGACAGCUCCUGUCUGAGUCUCGAUUUCCUCAUCUGAAGUGGAAGCCCUGCCUCGGAGGCUGUUGUGUGGGUGCCAGGAGACAAGAAUGUGGGGGUGCACGCACAGGGCCUGGCACACUGAUUGUCACUGCAGUGCUGGGCAUGUCUGCAGCAGCAGCAUCAGAUUCCCCCAUCCUCCGAAGCUUCCCCAGGGCCGCUGGCCUGUCCACCCCCAGGACCAGAGGCAGAAUCAGGACUAAGAUGGGGGAGGGAAUGCAUUUGACUGAGGCCCACACUCCCUGGGUGUGUCUGUCCCCCGACCCCCCAGCGAUUUGCAGGCCACCAGGGCUUCCAGAACAUGCUUCUGUGCUCUGGCCACAGUCCAGUUACACAGUCCCUGUCCAGGUGCCCUGUGGGGACCAGAGAAAAGGUGGGCAGGGGCCUAUUCACCUGAGGACUGGGAGGCUCAGGACAGGACAUUUGCUCCUCAGAAUCUGGGUCCAGGUCCCUGUGGGUUCUCGGGGUGAAGCUCCUUCCGUUCCCGGGCCUGCUGGGCAGGAGGCAGUGUCCAGGGGCUUCCCACCCCCCAGUCUCUGGCAGCCCUGUUACAGGAGGCAGGGCAAUGCCCCCUUACAGACCAGGACACUGCUCCCAAGGGGCCUGGGGAGAGCCAGCGGGCCUCUUGGACACAGUGUGGGAAACAAGCCUGUCCCCAAGGACCCAAAGGAGUGGGGGGGCCCUGAGGGAAUCUCAGGCUGCAGGGGAGGGCGGAGAGGUCAGUGGGCAGCGGUCUGGGAGGAUGCACACUGGCUGCCCCAAGUCCUGGGGUUGUGGGUGUGGCCAGCCCCACGUGGGGUGGGGCCGCCACCAGUUGUGGGCGGGGCCAUCCCAGCAUGUGGGCGGGGCCAGCGAAAGGAACUGUUUGAGGGACUGGAAAUGGGGUCACAGCCUCUAGACAGGUAA